ACUGAAGUUCAGAACGCAGCUUUAUGAAGUGUUGGGCCUUAUAACUAUUAUCGGCCCACUCAACAAAAGAGCAGAAAACCCAAUUUGCAUCCUUGAAACCCUAAUUCCUGAUCUUCACCAUCUCUAUAAAUACUUCUGCUGCUGCCACUUCUUCUUCCUGUACAGCUCAACCCAGCUCCGCCUCCUGCAUCAUCAGUUUCUACCUCAUACUAUGGUACGGCCCUUAACCUGCUGGCACAUCACUUCACAUCUUCCUGAUUAUGUUUUGUUUUUAUUUCCUUACAAGCUAAGCUAGCAAACGCACUCUGUCCCUAAACCUUCGAUGUUUUGAGGCAAUUUCUUCGUUUGCAACAUUAAAACGAUGAAAGUAGUAUAACUAUUACUUUCUGUAAUUCCAGCUAACUCGCCCAUAUGAUCUUUAAUCCUGUGAUCUUAUGGGCACAUGACUGGAUUACAUCACAAGUCAACGUUUUUAAUUCUGGUUUUAUUGCCCAA